UACGUAGGGGGCUAGCGUUGUCCGGAUUUAUUGGGCGUAAAGAGCGUGUAGGCGGCCAGGUAGGUCUGCUGUGAAAACUCGAGGCUUAACCUCGAGAUGUCGGCGGAAACCAUCUGGCUAGAGUCCGGAAGAGGAGAGUGGAAUUCCUGGUGUAGCGGUGAAAUGCGCAGAUAUCAGGAAGAACACCCGUGGCGAAGGCAGCUCGCUGGGACGUGACUGACGCUGAGACGCGAAAGCGUGGGGAGCAAACAGG
rnacentral:rRNA from 1 species